UACGUAGGGGGCAAGCGUUGUCCGGAAUCAUUGGGCGUAAAGAGCGUGUAGGCGGCCAGAUAAGUCCGCUGUGAAAUCUCGAGGCUCAACUUCGAGCUGUCGGUGGAAACUGUCUGGCUAGAGUCCGGAAGAGGAGAAUGGAAUUCCUGGUGUAGCGGUGAAAUGCGCAGAUAUCAGGAAGAACACCCGUGGCGAAGGCGGUUCUCUGGGACGGUACUGACGCUGAGACGCGAAGCGUGGGGAGCGAACAGG
rnacentral:rRNA from 1 species